AGUCGAACGGUGAACACGGAGCUUGCUCUGUGGGAUCAGUGGCGAACGGGUGAGUAACACGUGAGCAACCUGCCCCUGACUCUGGGAUAAGCGCUGGAAACGGCGUCUAAUACUGGAUACGAGUAGCGACCGCAUGGUCAGUUACUGGAAAGAUUUAUUGGUUGGGGAUGGGCUCGCGGCCUAUCAGCUUGUUGGUGAGGUAAUGGCUCACCAAGGCGUCGACGGGUAGCCGGCCUGAGAGGGUGACCGGCCACACUGGGACUGAGACACGGCCCAGACUCCUACGGGAGGCAGCAGUGGGGAAUAUUGCACAAUGGGCGCAAGCCUGAUGCAGCAACGCCGCGUGAGGGAUGACGGCCUUCGGGUUGUAAACCUCUUUUAGCAGGGAAGAAGCGAAAGUGACGGUACCUGCAGAAAAAGCGCCGGCUAACUACGUGCCAGCAGCCGCGGUAAUACGUAGGGCGCAAGCGUUAUCCGGAAUUAUUGGGCGUAAAGAGCUCGUAGGCGGUUUGUCGCGUCUGCUGUGAAAUCCGGAGGCUCAACCUCCGGCCUGCAGUGGGUACGGGCAGACUAGAGUGCGGUAGGGGAGAUUGGAAUUCCUGGUGUAGCGGUGGAAUGCGCAGAUAUCAGGAGGAACACCGAUGGCGAAGGCAGAUCUCUGGGCCGUAACUGACGCUGAGGAGCGAAAGGGUGGGGAGCAAACAGGCUUAGAUACCCUGGUAGUCCACCCCGUAAACGUUGGGAACUAGUUGUGGGGUCCAUUCCACGGAUUCCGUGACGCAGCUAACGCAUUAAGUUCCCCGCCUGGGGAGUACGGCCGCAAGGCUAAAACUCAAAGGAAUUGACGGGGACCCGCACAAGCGGCGGAGCAUGCGGAUUAAUUCGAUGCAACGCGAAGAACCUUACCAAGGCUUGACAUAUACGAGAACGGGCCAGAAAUGGUCAACUCUUUGGACACUCGUAAACAGGUGGUGCAUGGUUGUCGUCAGCUCGUGUCGUGAGAUGUUGGGUUAAGUCCCGCAACGAGCGCAACCCUCGUUCUAUGUUGCCAGCACGUAAUGGUGGGAACUCAUGG
rnacentral:rRNA from 1 species